rnacentral:rRNA from 1 species
GUCCACGCCGUAACGAUAAUCACUAGAUGUUGGUUCGGCUUAGCUGGAUCAGUGUCGUAGCUAACGCGUUAAGUGAUUCGCCUGGGAGUAUGGUCGCAAGGCUAAACUUAAAGAAUUGACGGGGUCCGCACAAGCGGUGGAACAUGUGGUUUAAUUCGACACUACGCGAGAACCUUACCUGGGCUUGACAUGUACUUGACAGCUGUAGAAAUAUGGUCUUUGGGUUUCGGCUCAAACAGGUACACAGGUGCUGCAUGGCUGUCGU